rnacentral:rRNA from 1 species
UACGGGGGGGGCAAGCGUUGUUCGGAAUUACUGGGCGUAAAGGGCUCGUAGGCGGCCCACUAAGUCGGUUGUGAAAUCCCCAGGCUUAACCUGGGAACUGCAUCCGAUACUGGAUGGCUUGAAUCCGGGAGAGGGAUGCAGAAUUCCAGGUGUAGCGGUGAAAUGCGUAGAUAUCUGGAGGAAUACCGGUGGCGAAGGCGGCAUCCUGGACCGGCAUUGACGCUGAUGAGCGAAAGCUAGGGGAGCAAACGGG